rnacentral:rRNA from 1 species
CCUACGGGCGGCAGCAGUGGGGAAUAUUGGACAAUGGGGGGAACCCUGAUCCAGCCAUGCCGCGUGUGUGAAGAAGGCCCUCGGGUUGUAAAGCACUUUCAGUGAGGAAGAACGCCUGGUGGUUAAUACCCAUCAGGAAAGACAUCACUCACAGAAGAAGCACCGGCUAACUCCGUGCCAGCAGGCGCGGUAAUACGGAGGGUGCGAGCGUUAAUCGGAAUUACUGGGCGUAAAGCGCGCGUAGGUGGCUUGAUAAGCCGGUUGUGAAAGCCCCGGGCUCAACCUGGGAACGGCAUCCGGAACUGUCAAGCUAGAGUGCAGGAGAGGAAGGUAGAAUUCCCGGUGUAGCGGUGAAAUGCGUAGAGAUCGGGAGGAAUACCAGUGGCGAAGGCGGCCUUCUGGACUGACACUGACACUGAGGUGCGAAAGCGUGGGUAGCAAACAGGAUUAGAUACCCCAGUAGUC